GCCUCCCGCGCCUUCAGGCUGGACCGCGGGAGACUGAGCGGAGGCAGGGCUGAGGGGAGCCGCGAAAAUUCCUGGUGGAUACUGUACCACGGCCUCAUCCUCCCCCUGGCCCGCACCAUCUACCUAUAAUGCGAAACUUCCAGGAUACCUUACGCCUACGAACCAUCAUGCAUGCAGUUCGUCCUCCGCGGGUCUGGGAGCACAGCAAGCUGUCAACUGCUCUAGUGGAAUUUGCUUUGGACAACAUUUUGAAGCAGAUCUGAUAUGCCACUUGAAUUAGUAAAAGAAGUCAGUGGAGUGCCUGAAGUUGAGCUGCUAAGUGAAUUAAACAAAGUAGAUUUCAGUUCUCUACAGCCAGGUUGUGAUUAUAGCAAGAAGUACAUCCAGGGAAAACUGUCACUUAUUUCUUCUUUAACUUAUGGUGGAAACAGAACAGCUGUUUUGAAGAUUGCCCUACAAGAAGAAGAAAAUUCAAAUUCAGAGAUCAACACCAUCAAUGUAUUAUUUUUUGGAAAAUUAGCAAAGGACUGUGCAAAAGUUUUCUAUGAAGGGGAUACCAUUGCAGUAGCUGGAUUUACUGUCUUGUCAGCAUCUUCAUCUACAAGCAGAGAUGGUAAACAUUGCUUAUUUUUGAAAGCAUUUGAGGACUUCAGAUCAACUGUUUAUGUUUAUGUUAAAUCUGUAAGGGAUUUUUCUGCAGAAUCAAUGUCUUUGGUUCCAGCAACACAUUAUAUAUAUACACCCCUGAAUCAACUUAAGGGUGGUACAAUUGUCAAUGUGUAUGGUGUUGUGAAGUUCUUUAAGCCUCCAUAUCUAAGCAAAGGAACUGAUUAUUGCUCAGUUGUAACAAUUGUGGACCAGACAAAUGUAAAGUUAACCUGCCUGCUCUUCAGUGGAAAUUAUGAAGCCCUUCCAAUAAUUUAUAAAAAUGGAGAUAUUGUUCGCUUUCAUAGGCUGAAGAUCCAAGUAUAUAAAAAGGAGACUCAGGGUAUCACCAGCUCUGGCUUUUCAUCUUUGACAUUUGAGGGAACUUUGGGAGCUCCUAUCAUACCUCGUACCUCAAGCAAGUAUUUUAACUUCACUGCCGAGGACCACAAAAUGGUAGAAGCUCUUCGUGUUUGGGCAUCUACUCAUAUUUCACCUUCUUCGACAUUAGUAAAAUUGUGUGAUGUUCAACCACUGCAGUAUUUUGACCUGACUUGUCAGCUCUUGGGCAAAGCAGAAGUGGAUGGAGCAUCAUUUCUUCUAAAGGUAUGGGAUGGCACCAGGACCCCAUUCCCAUCUUGGAGAGUAUUAAUACAAGACCUUGUACUUGAAGGAGAUUUAAGUCAUAUCCAUCGGAUGCAGAAUCUGACAGUAGACAUUUUAGUCUAUGAUAAUCAUGUUCAAGUGGCAAAAUCUCUGAAGGUUGGAAGUUUUCUUAGAAUUUAUAGCCUCCAUACCAAACUUCAGUCAGUGAAUUCGGAGAACCAAGCAACAUUGUUAGCUCUAGAGUUUCAUCUCCAUGGGGGUACCAGUUACGGCCGGGGAAUCAGAGUCUUGCCAGAAAGUAACUCUGAUGUGGACCAACUGAAAAAGGUUUUAGAAUCUGCCGAUUUGACAGCCAAUCAGUGUUUUGAUGGUAUAUGUCAUUCAGAGCACGAGGACAGCUUUCGGACUCUUUCAAGCUCUGGAUCAGUAUCACUAUAUGAGGUAGAAAGAUGUCAGCAACUAUCAGCUACAAUACUUACAGAUCAUCAAUAUUUAGAGAAAACCCCAAUAUGUGCUAUUUUGAAACAAAACGCUCCUCAACAGUAUCGUAUUCGAGCAAAAUUAAGGUCAUAUAAGCCGAGAAUACUCUUUCAGUCUGUUAAACUUCAUUGUCCUAAAUGUCAUGCACUGCAAGAAGUUCCACAUGAGGGUGAUUUGGAUACAAUUUUACAAGAGGGUGCAAGUAAAACCCCAGAUAUCAAACUACAAAAUACAUCAUUAUAUGAUUCGAAAAUGUGGACCACUACAGAUCAAGAACGAAAAGUUGCUGUUCAUUUUGUAAAAAAUAACGGUAUUCUUCCACUUUCAAAUGACUGUCUGAUUUUGAUAGAAGGAGGUACACUUGGUGAAAUCUACAAACUCGCAAACAAGUUUCAUAGUGUAAUUCCUGUGAGAUCUGGCCAUGAAGACUUGGAAGUCCUUGAUCUUUCAGCACCAUUCCUUAUACAAGGAAAAAUACAUCACUAUGGAUGUAAACAGUGUUCUACUUUGAGACCAAUAAAAACUCUAAAUUCCCUGGUUGAUAAAACACCAUGGAUUCCUUCUUCUGUGGCAGAAGUACUGGGUAUUGUACCCCUUCAACAUGUGUUUGUAAUGACAUUUACUCUUGAUGAUGGAACAGGAGUAUUGGAAGCUUAUCUCAUGGAUUCUGACAAAUUCUUCCAGAUCCCAGCAUCAGAAAUCCUAAUCAAUGAUGGCCUUCAGCAGAGUAUGGAUAUGAUCUUGGAUAUGUUUUGUCCUUCAGGAAUAAAAAUUGUCAACCAAGAAAAAAAAGAAAAACAAACAAAAAAACCUGGGGAGGUCAGCAGCAGGAAGAAAAGGAAGAAAAGUUGGGAAUGAGAUGGCUGCUACCUUUGUUGUCAAACAUUUGGAAAACCCUACAUUUAAUUAUUGUUUUCUGUUGGAAAAAAAAUCAAAUUAGGAUUGUUACAAAACAGUAACAAGAAACCAGUGUGUAUUUGGAAGAGUAGAUAAUAUUAAAUUUGAUGCAUAUCCGUGGUUGGAAUGCUUCAUCAAGUCGUAUAAUGUCACAAGUGGAACAGAGCAGCAAAUUUGCUAUCAGAUUUUUGACACCACAGUUGCAGAAGAUGUAAUCUAAUAUUGUCAUUCAGCUUAGCAUAUGUAAAAUACUGUAAUUUUAGAAAACAUUAUUUUCUGUGAGAUUGUUAUAAAACAUGUAAAGGUUUAACUAUAUAGUUUACCUUUCAUUUUAACCACAGUGUACAUUUUUUUUCACAAAUAACAUUGUGUUAUCUUAAUGCCUUCUUGUGAAUUAAGUUAAAAAUGUUCCUUUUGCUCAAAAUUUCCAGUAUGGUGGCGGCUAGGGGCAUAAAGGAGAAAGGGGAAUAAAGAAGGACUGUCUUCAUUCACCCCUUGCAGCCCUUUCGGAGAACCUGUUCUGUACCCUACACUAAAAAUCACUUUCCUUGUUGUUUUUUCCAUGUGUCAGCCACUAAUUUGUCUGCCCGCCACCAUCUGUGCUUGGCUUCUUUUCCUACCCUGGUUCAGCAUUGUUAAUGAUUUUAGCAUGGGUAUGGGGUUAGAAAACGUCCUUACGUUAACUCACUCAGCUUUUACUGAGUGCAAAGUAUGUAACGGCUAGCGGUUUGGUUUUGCACAAAGGGAUCUGCUUAAACAAGUAGUCUUGUGGAGAAGUGCUCUUCUGAGUGAGCUGCAGCGUACUUAACAGGAGUGGUUUACUUUAGGUCUAUGUGGCAGAGUUGCUGUCUUCCGGUGCUAUAGACCAAUUUAGGAUAAAUCCAUUUUCUAAGACCUGAAUUGUGUGCUUUUGAUUGCUUGUUUCUCUACAUGAUAUUAGAAGUUAUUGCAUUGCACCUUGAUCUGAUAAAGCAGUCAGGUUUAUUACAAUGUUACUGACUUACAUUACCCUUUUUUAAUAGUCUUACGUAAUAUAUAUUUCAGACUGAACAUGGAAUGAGAUAUUAACUCAAAGAGUAGUCCGCUUUUUAUCUGACAGUGUUUGUGAAAUUUAAAAUCAUGAAUAUUCAGUUUUAUACAAAUACUUGUAUAUAUUUGUAUAUAUGUAUAGACGUAUGUAUAUUAUUUGGUAAAGACUAAGACAUACACAUAUGCCUAGUUCAGUAUUAGUGAAGAAUAAAUUAAUGUACAUAUUUCACCUGUUUUCUUUAUUUGCCCUUUUUUGAGUUGAGGCGUGAUUGGAGGCAAAGAAUCAAAGCAGGAAUGCCAAUAUAGCAGAUUCUUAAGACUGUCUAUACAACAGGAACUGUGCAAAGCAUUUAACAUAUAUCUGAGUUUCGCAACAACCAUUUUCCUGAUAAAACUGAGGCUUGGUGAGCUGACUUCACGAAGUUCACAUGGUUACUAAGUGCUAGUCAGUACGUGUAUUCUGGUAAUCUGUGUUCAGAGGCUGCACUGCCAACCAUGCCAGGAUUCUGGGGCAACAAGCUAGCAUGGGGUUUUCUGGAAAUGAGUUCUCCCUUAACGUAUUUGAAGUAACAUUGGAAACAGAUUAUGAGAGGAGUCAGUGUUAUGUUUUCUUACACUCUCAAAAGGCUUUUAACAUUUUAUUGGCAAAAAAGGUUCAAAUACUCAAUUUCCUCUGCUCAUAAUAAUUCCAUAUUCUAGUUCCUGAGUACAUUAGCCCAUCCCCAGACCUAACUACCCAUCUCCCAUCACUGAAUUACCAUCUUGUCGGAGAUGGUAGAAAAAGAGGCUGAUGCUGCUGUUUUGGGUGUAAACUCUUAGUUCAAAACAUCUUCAGGGAAAAGUUUUAGGAACCUUGUGAAUGAACUGAUUGAUUUCAGUAUCAAUGGUAUGCUGGGGAUACGAAGGCCAGGAGCCAUUUUCUCUUCAGGAGGCACCGAGUCUAGAAGAGGAGGGGUCAGAAGGUACGUCAGGUCACAGUGCUGUCUCCAAGUUGAUAAAAUAAAACUCCUCACAUGAGUCUUUACUGGGAUAGGUCAUUGCUCUUUUCUCUUUUUUUUUAGUAAACCCUCACAUUGUCCUCAUUUGUUUUUCAGCUUUUCAGCUUUGAACAAGAAGAGUUCUAUUAAUACCUAGUGUUUAUCUAGUAAUGAUGUGUGCAUCUUACCUUUAUCAGGACCCGGGAAAGCUAGGAGAAUUCUGUAUCUGGAGCAACAAGUAGACAGGCAUUCACUGUGCCCCGAUUUGAGCCAUGUCCCCUUUACUGUCCAUGUAAAUAAUGGUAGCCUUCCUAUCAGAUAUAAAAUUACAUAAAUUUAAGCAUGUAGUUUGUGUAUAGCCUUUUGCUCAAAUUCCAUUCUCUGCAGCAUCCAUUAGAUACUACUGGAUUGUCUCUUUAGCCCCUGCUCUGUUCAGUAUGAGGAAGAGAAGGCAUAGCUUAGAAAAUCUGAGGCAGUCGAUUACACAAUAAUGAGAAGUGCACUGCUCACAUGCUCUUUCUGUCCCUACACUCCAUUAUACUGCUUUAUUUGAGGGAACUAUACCGGCCGAGAUGCAGUGCAUAAUUCCCCCUCCUCCCCCCUUUCUUUUUUUUUAUACCUGGCCGUGUUGCACUUUGGGAGUUGUUUCUGAAUGAAUAUAGAGAGGCUGGUGUGAAUGGACUAGAAGAAGCUGAAUACACCUCUGUCUACCUGAGAAAGCAGUCUCCACACAAUGGGGCACUGGCUGCGCAGUUUCUGAGUCCAUAUAGUUCCUGGGCUGUAGCUACUUGCAGGUCACAGAGAUGGGCCAGAAUCUUUAACCAGCUGUGCUCGUCUGUUUCCAAAGUCAAAGCAUGAGUUUGUCACUAUUUGUGACUCUCAAUCCAGCCAAUUCUCUUCUACACUUUCUGGAAGCUUUCCUUGGUAUCUGGGGAAAUAGCUGGAUUCUUCUGAUUAUUUUCAGUGUUUUGAAUUUUGACCAUGUAUUUCACCAAGUUUUGUUUCUAUCCAGAAUUCUUUUAAAUAAAAGUAAUACGUAUUUGUAAGAAUUGAAACAGCAUGAAGUAUAUGAAGUUGAACUAAUUCUUACUCUAACUAGUACCCCAGAGGAAACCACUUUUAACAGUUUGGUGUAUGAUUUUCCAGACUGUUUUCCCUAAGAAUGGGUAAAUAUGUGUAUGUAUACUUUUUAAAAAUAACAUCAUGCUAUAAAUAUAUUUCUGCAACUUUUGUCACUUUAUAAAGUAGACCUUGUUCUUUAUAACAAUACAUAUAGAAGGAGAAACUUGUUUGUAAUUACUCAGCGUAAGUAACUUUUUAGGGAAUUCUCUGAUUAUUUCACUUUCUAUUUUUAUCUUGAUUUUUGGUCUAUUUAAGUGUUCUAUUUCUUACUGUAAACAGUUUUGGAAUUUUUUAUAGGAAUGUAUGCAUGUUACCUAUUUUGUUGACUUUAUCGCCUUAUAGUUAUUCAUAAUAUUUUAUUAUUAUUGCUUUAGUCUGUGAUUUGUCUGGUGUUAUUUUCCCUUUAAAUAAAUCUGAAGCCCCUGG